CCGGACGGACCUACGUUCUUAUCUGUCGUAUAAUCGUCAACACUAAAAAGUUUCUACGCGAAUUUUACUGCAGAAUAUUAACGGUGUAACUGUGUUGUGUUGUGAAUUUUGUGAAUUCAAGACAUAUUUAAUUAUUUAUCAGCAUGGCGUACCCAUAAAAACUUUUGAACAUAGCAGUGUUGUCUUAUAUUAUGUUAUGCGGACGAGUUGGAAGGCAAUUACAGAAAAAUACGAGUUCCUUGCACGAUACACAAAUACUCUUAUAGACUGCCGAUGUUUGCUCUAGGAGCCUUAUCAUUUGAUAAGUUAGAACACAAGCCGCGUGUAAACAACCUUAUCAUGCUAUCGUUCUCACUGGAGACGCGAAAUUGCCCCGCAGAAUCUGUUGCAUGCCGUCGCGACGUACAGAAUACUUAAUUAUUUUUUUCCGUUUUAAUUUGUCGUUAUGGAAGAGGAAGUUUGCAUAAAAGACGGAUAGAUUGGAGAAGUGAUAGUGUUAGCGCAACCAAAGGGAAUACCGCAGUAAGCUCGAGUGAUUUCUAGUCGGGAUUUGUAAAAGUGCAUCAAACUGGAGGACCUACAGACUUUGGAAAGCGCUGAGGGCGUGGGCGAGAACGCCAGUGAGGAAUGCCUUGCGAAGAAUCACAAUUUAUCAGCAAAUUUUUGCCCAGCUUAUUACGAUGGACUGUUGUGCUGGGA